rnacentral:rRNA from 1 species
UACGUAGGGUGCGAGCGUUUGUCCGGAAUUAUUGGGCGUAAAGGGCUCGUAGGCGGUUUGUCGCGUCGGGAGUGAAAACACCGGGCUUAACUCGGUGCUUGCUUUCGAUACGGGCAGACUAGAGGCAUGCAGGGGAGAACGGAAUUCCAGGUGUAGCGGUGAAAUGCGUAGAUAUCUGGAGGAACACCGGUGGCGAAGGCGGCAUCCUGGACUACUACUGACACUGAGGGAGCGAAAGCCAGGGGAGCAAACGGG